CCUUACCUGCAGUCACCAUUCCGGUACUUUCUACCAUUAACAAAUGCCACGGUCAAACGCAGAGAAAGGCGACUGCUACCGGGCUGCUCGUCAUCCGCCGCGCUGUUGUGACAAUAGAAACAGAAAUG